rnacentral:rRNA from 1 species
GUAAUUGAAGAGGUUUGGAAAGACCCACCACAGAAGGUAAUAGUCCUGUAUGUUAAACGAGAAGACUUUAGAUAUGAUCCAGAGUACCACGGGACACGUGAAACCCUGUGGGAAGCAGGAGGGACCACCCUCCAAGGCUAAAUACUACCUAGUGACCGAUAGCGUAUAGUACCGUGAGGGAAAGGUGAAAAGAACCCCGGGAGGGGAGUGAAAUAGAACCUGAAACCCUGCACUUACAAGCUGUGGAAGCACAUUUCUUGUGUGACCGCGUACUUUUUGUAGAACGGGCCAACGAGUUACGUUAAGUAGCAAGGUUAAGCACUUAAGGUGCGGAGCCGUAGCGAAAGCGAGUUUUAACUGAGCGUUCAGUUACUUGACGUAGACCCGAAACCGGGCGACCUACCCAUGAGCAGGAUGAAGCGAAAGUAAAAUUUCGUGGAGGUCCGAACCCACGAGCGUUGAAAAGCUCGGGGAUGACUUGUGGGUAGCGGUGAAAUUCCAAUCGAGCCCGGAGAUAGCUGGUUCUCCCCGAAAUAGCUUUAGGGCUAGCCUCAAGGUGAGAGAUACGGAGGUAGAGCACUGAAUGUCCUAGGGGGUAUUGCACCUACCGAAGACUAUCAAACUCCGAAUGCCGUCAUCUUAUACUUGGGAGUCAGACUGUGGGUGAUAAGAUUCAUAGUCGAAAGGGCAACAGCCCAGAUCGUCAGCUAAGGUCCCUAAAUGUAAGUUAAGUGGUAAAGGAUGUGGGAUUGCACAGACAACCAGGAUGUUGGCUUAGAAGCAGCCACUCAUUCAAAGAGUGCGUAAUAGCUCACUGGUCGAGUGAUCCUGCGCCGAAGAUUUCCGGGGCUAAAACUUACUACCGAAGCUACGGCAUCAGUAAUGAUGGGUAGGGGAGCUUCCCAUACGGGUUGAAGCAUGACCGUAAGGACAUGUGGACAGUAUGGGAGUGAGAAUGUUGGCAUGAGUAGCGAGAUGUGGGUGAGAAUCCCACAGGCCGUAAACCCAAGGUUUCCAGGGGAAGGUUCGUCCGCCCUGGGUUAGUCGGGACCUAAGCUGAGGCCGAAAGGCGUAGGUGAUGGACAACAGGUUGAUAUUCCUGUACUACCGAUAACCGUUUGAGAGAAGGGAUGACACAGUAGGAUAAGCUAAGCACACUGUUGGUUAUGUGUGCCCAAGCAUUGAGGCAGUCAAAGUAGGCAAAUCCGCUUUGAUAAUGCUGGGAUGUGAUGGGGAGCGAAAUUUAGUAGCGAAGUAGCUGAUUUCACACUGUCAAGAAAAGUCUCUAUCGAGGUUAAAGGUACCCGUACCGCAAACCGACACAGGUGGGUGAGGAGAGUAUCCUAAGGCCAGCGAGAGAACUGUUGUUAAGGAACUCGGCAAAAUGACCCCGUAACUUAGGGAUAAGGGGUGCCACCAUCAGGUGGCCGCAGAGAAUAGGCCCAAGCGACUGUUUACCAAAAACAUAGGUUUCUGCUAAGUCGCAAGACGAUGUAUAGGAGCUGACGCCUGCCCGGUGCUGGAAGGUUAAGGGGAUCUGUUAGAGCAAUCGAAGCAGUGAACUUAAGCCCCAGUAAACGGCGGCCGUAACUAUAACGGUCCUAAGGUAGCGAAAUUCCUUGUCGGGUAAGUUCCGACCCGCACGAAAGGCGUAACGAUUUGGGCACUGUCUCAACAACAGACUCGGUGAAAUUGUAAUUCCGGUGAAGAUGCCGGAUACCUGCGACAGGACGGAAAGACCCCAUGGAGCUUUACUGUAGCUUGACAUUGGGUCUUGGUACUACAUGUACAGGAUAGGUGGGAGGCUUUGAAACCAGGACGCCAGUUUUGGCGGAGCCAUCCUUGGGAUACCACCCUUGUAGUACUGGGACUCUAACCAUAGGCCAUGAAUCUGGUCUUGGGACACUGUCAGGUGGGCAGUUUGACUGGGGCGGUCGCCUCCCAAAAGGUAACGGAGGCGCUCAAAGGUUCUCUCAGUACGGUCGGAAAUCGUACGUAGAGUGUAAAGGCAAAAGAGAGCUUGAUUGCAAGACAUACAGGUCGAGCAAGGAUGAAAAUCGGACUUAGUGAUCCGGUGGUUCUGCGUGGAAGGGCCAUCGCUCAACGGAUAAAAGCUACCCUGGGGAUAACAGGCUUAUCUCCCCCAAGAGUCCACAUCGACGGGGAGGUUUGGCACCUCGAUGUCGGCUCAUCACAUCCUGGGGCUGUAGUAGGUCCCAAGGGUUGGGCUGUUCGCCCAUUAAAGUGGUACGCGAGCUGGGUUCAGAACGUCGUGAGACAGUUCGGUCCCUAUCCGUCGCAGGCGUAGGAAAUUUGAGAAGACCUGUCCUUAGUACGAGAGGACCGGGAUGGACG